rnacentral:lncRNA from 1 species
UAAUCAAUUUCAGAAAUACUUUUGUUAAUACUUGAUCAGUUGCGAUUUGGGUUUGGUGGUUCCAAAAGUGCUUUUGGAGAAAAAAUAUUUUUUUAGAAACUGAAAAACAGUUUUUGUUACUACUCGAAAACACUUGUUCUCUCAACUCUAUAAAAUAAUUAUUUUCAAAAAUACUUUUAGCCUCCUAAAAGUAAUAAACUAGUUUUGGGACCCCACUAAGUUAGGGUACUUGAACAUGAUGUCUAAAAGAAUUAGCAAAGGCAAUAUUAUAUAAGUUAAGACACAGAUAACUUUAGAAAACACAAAGUGGCAAAUCUACUUUAAACCAAAUUAGUGGGCUUAGAGAUAAACCAUUAACAAACAAAUCAAAAAAAGAUAUCCUUUGUCUAAUCUCUAUGAAGUGAAAUCAUCAUUAUCCCUCUCAUAAACUAAAAGAUAUUAACUUGUUGUAUAGGCUCUGCAUUAUUUUUUUAAUUAUUUAUAAUUGUCUUUUAGACGAUUUAAUAGUUUAAAAGAAUUAUAAAAAUUAUACUACUAAUUGGAC